AGUGAACGCUGGCGGUAGGCCUAACACAUGCAAGUCGAACGGCAGCACAGUAGGAGCUUGCUCUUACGGGUGGCGAGUGGCGGACGGGUGAGGAGUACAUCGGAAUCUACUUUUUCGUGGGGGAUAACGUAGGGAAACUUACGCUAAUACCGCAUACGACCUACGGGUGAAAGCAGGGGAUCUUCGGACCUUGCGCGAUUGAAUGAGCCGAUGUCGGAUUAGCUAGUUGGCGGGGUAAAGGCCCACCAAGGCGACGAUCCGUAGCUGGUCUGAGAGGAUGAUCAGCCACACUGGAACUGAGACACGGUCCAGACUCCUACGGGAGGCAGCAGUGGGGAAUAUUGGACAAUGGGCGCAAGCCUGAUCCAGCCAUACCGCGUGGGUGAAGAAGGCCUUCGGGUUGUAAAGCCCUUUUGUUGGGAAAGAAAAGCAGCAGGUUAAUACCCCGCUGUUCUGACGGUACCCAAAGAAUAAGCACCGGCUAACUUCGUG
rnacentral:rRNA from 1 species